UGGGGAAUAUUGCACAAUGGGCGCAAGCCUGAUGCAGCCAUGCCGCGUGUAUGAAGAAGGCCUUCGGGUUGUAAAGUACUUUCAGCGGGGAGGAAGGUGUUGUGGUUAAUAACCACAGCAAUUGACGUUACCCGCAGAAGAAGCACCGGCUAACUCCGUGCCAGCAGCCGCGGUAAUACGGAGGGUGCAAGCGUUAAUCGGAAUUACUGGGCGUAAAGCGCACGCAGGCGGUCUGUCAAGUCGGAUGUGAAAUCCCCGGGCUCAACCUGGGAACUGCAUCCGAAACUGGCAGGCUUGAGUCUUGUAUAGGGGGGUAGAAUUCCAGGUGUAGCGGUGAAAUGCGUAGAGAUCUGGAGGAAUACCGGUGGCGAAGGCGGCCCCCUGGACAAAGACUGACGCUCAGGUGCGAAAGCGUGGGGAGCAAACA
rnacentral:rRNA from 1 species